GUUGAAAUGCACUAGAUUUGGCCAGAGGGCGUUGUUUGUUGGCCCGUCGAAUAUGUUUUGCCAAAGAAGUGACCAGAUUCUGGAUUCUCUUUUCCCCAUCAAGUUCCAUGGCCAAGCAACGGAAGCCAAAGGGUCUGCGGAAAAAUUAGAUCGCCCUCCCAGGUCGUUAAGUGAAAGCAGCGUAUCGAAUCUCGGAUGACUCACAUUUUGACAGAAUGUGAGCAUCGAACCAAAAAGAGUGGCUCUAUACAGAGCCUUCGAACAGUCCAGGUCGCUAAGAUCUCUCUUGGAUUGUUCUAAUAUCAGGUUCAUUUCUAUUAGUCGAAAGGAAAACACGUGGAUACAUCAAUUUGCAUGACUUAUUAUUGUCAUCGACCAAUGUACGUAAGUUAGGCGGAGUUCGAGGAGGAUGUGAGGAUAUUACAACCAUCUGCUCACAAAAGGCCAGAGGCGAAGAAUGUGUUAUAUGACGAUCAUGAGACAGACGAUGUCAUUACUAUUCUGUCCAAAUCCUUGUUAAAGGGACCAGAUCACCAGACUCGGGCGCCCCAAUGGGAUUUUUCAUGGCGGGAGAAUGUACGUCGAGAGACAGUGAGGUGCUCAGACUGCUCAUCUCCCAUCUCGUUUUGUAUUGAUCUCUGUUCAAACAAAAAAUAAAUUGUUCAUUUCAUGGA